GGGGGUAUAGCUCAGUUGGUUAGAGCGUUUGCAUGACACGCAAAAGGUCGCAGAUUCGACUUCUGCUACUCCCACCA
rnacentral:tRNA from 1 species